CAGGUUUACUUAAAAUAUUGAAGAACAAGCUUUGCAAAUUUUUCCAUUGCUCUGGAUGUAAUUUUUUUCAGUCAUUCAAAAGCUAAAUCUUCCACUUGAGGCUGAGCUACACUUGACAGAUGAAACAGGAACAGAAGUUGAUGCAGAUGUGUUUGAAGAGCUUUUGCAAGCAGGGAACCUUACUUUUAUAGUGACAACUGAAAAGUCAACAGUUGUGCUUCACCAUGAUUUAUCAUCUACUUCAUUGGAGUCAACCUCGUCAGACAUCUCAUCAGUAACAGUUUCUGGAGAUACCUCACUAUCAUCUGAUUCAUCUGAUGAUACAGUGAUUGUUCACACGAACGGAGGGACAAGAACCCAUGCCGAACAGGAUGCGGCAAAAGAGAUGGUGAGAAAUGCUCUCCAGGCUAAAUCGAGUGGACAGAUUAUUUUGGAUGAAUAUGAUAAAAUGAGAACAUUGACAGAUAGCUCAAGAAGACGGUUGGUAAACCUUCUUGUGGCCAACAUGGUUGAAAUUCAUGGGUAAGUCUUGUUCUUACACUA